ACUCAAUAGAUACCCCGGUAGUCCUGGCCGUAAACGAUGAACACUAGUAGGAAGAAACCUAGUUUUUUCCUCCGGAGCUAAAAAGUGUUAAAGUGUUCCGCCUGGGGAGUAUGGUCGCAAGGCUGAAACUCAAAGAAAUUGACGGGGGCUCACACAAGCGGUGGAGCAUGUGGCUUAAUUCGAGGCAACGCGAAGAACCUUAUCCUAGACUUGACAUGGUCGGAUUAGUUCCGUGAAAGCGGAAUGACGCCUUCGGGUGGAACGAUCACAGGUGCUGCAUGGCUGUCGUCAGCUCGUGUCGUGAGAUGUCGGGUUAAGUCCUUCAACGAGCGAAACCCCUGUCCUUAGUUGCCAGCAUUCAGUUGGGGACUCUAAGGAGACCGCCGGUGUUAAACCGGAGGAAGGCGGGGACGACGUCAAGUCAUCACGGCCUUUAUGUUUAGGGCUGCACACGUGCUACAAUGGGGCGUACAAAGGGAAGCCAACGCGCGAGCGGGAGCUAAUCUCAAAAAGACGUCCCUCAGUUCAGAUUGCAGGCUGCAAUUCGCCUGC
rnacentral:rRNA from 1 species